UGAGGAAUAUUGGUCAAUGGGCGGAAGCCUGAACCAGCCAAGUCGCGUGAGGGAAGACGGUCCUAUGGAUUGUAAACCUCUUUUGCAGGGGAGCAAGACGCGGUACGUGUACCGUGCUGGAGAGUACCCUGAGAAAAAGCAUCGGCUAACUCCGUGCCAGCAGCCGCGGUAAUACGGAGGAUGCGAGCGUUAUCCGGAUUUAUUGGGUUUAAAGGGUGCGUAGGCGGGUCGGUAAGUCAGUUGUGAAAGUUCGGGGCUCAACCCCGGAAUUGCAGUUGAAACUGCCGGUCUUGAGUACACGCAGGGAAGCCUGAAUUCAUGGUGUAGCGGUGAAAUGCUUAGAUAUCACGCAGAACUCCGAUUGCGAAGGCAGCAUACCGGCGCUCAACUGACGCUCAUGCACGAAAGCGUGGGUAUCGAACAGGAUUAGAUACC
rnacentral:rRNA from 1 species